rnacentral:rRNA from 1 species
GACGAACGCUGGCGGCGUGCUUAACACAUGCAAGUCGAACGGAAAGGCCCUGCUUUUGUGGGGUGCUCGAGUGGCGAGCGGGUGAGUAACACGUGAGUAACCUGCCCUUGACUUUGGGAUAACUUCAGGAAACUGGGGCUAAUACCGGAUAGGAGCUCCUGCUGCAUGGUGGGGGUUGGAAAGUUUCGGCGGUUGGGGAUGGACUCGCGGCUUAUCAGCUUGUUGGUGGGGUAGUGGCUUACCAAGGCUUUGACGGGUAGCCGGCCUGAGAGGGUGACCGGCCACAUUGGGACUGAGAGACGGCCCAGACUCCUACGGGAGGCAGCAGUGGGGAAUAUUGCACAGUGGGCGGAAGCCUGAUGCAGCAACGCCGCGUGCGGGAUGACGGCCUUCGGGUUGUAAACCGCUUUCGCCUGUGACGAAGAGUGAGUGACGGUAAUGGGUAAAGAAGCACCGGCUAACUACGUG